AUUGAACGCUGGCGGCAUGCCUUACACAUGCAAGUCGAACGGCAGCACGGGGCAACCUGGUGGCGAGUGGCGAACGGGUGAGUAAUGCAUCGGAACGUGCCAUUGAGUGGGGGAUAACGUAGCGAAAGUUGCGCUAAUACCGCAUAUUCUGUGAGCAGGAAAGCAGGGGGACCGCAAGGCCUUGCGCUCUUUGAGCGGCCGAUGUCAGAUUAGCUAGUUGGUGAGGUAACGGCUUACCAAGGCGACGAUCUGUAGCGGGUCUGAGAGGAUGAUCCGCCACACUGGAACUGAGACACGGUCCAGACUCCUACGGGAGGCAGCAGUGGGGAAUUUUGGACAAUGGGGGCAACCCUGAUCCAGCCAUGCCGCGUGAGUGAAGAAGGCCU
rnacentral:rRNA from 1 species